AUAGGGAUGUGUUCUCAUUGCUUUUCUGAUGCAGCAUGUCAGUCAGCUAACUCAUGGAGUUAUUCGAUGAACUUCAGAUUGAGGGUUUCGUCUUAAUCUUAGACUCGUAUAUCUAGUCUUGCAGCCAGAGAGCCAGUUAACCUCACACACACACAUUUGUUUCUGGUCCAUCCUUAUGGGGUCCUGGGAUUUCUAUCUCACAUAAACUGAUUUCAUGGUUAACCUCACACAUGCACACACACUUUUCUUGUUUAUCCUUAUAGGGCCCUCUCGUCUCAUUCACACUUUGAGUGACUUCACAUCAUUUGUACAACACAUUUCAGCAUCUAACCUCAGGUUAUUACAUGCAUAUAUUGUUAUACUCUGAGCUGUUAUAUGUUUUAAAGUAUAUCUUGAAUAUGGACCAGUGCAGCUCCCUAUUUGUUCUUGUUGGACCUCUAGAGCAUGCCAUGCACUCUGCUUUAAGUUAUGUGCCGUUUAAGAAACUGUUUUCAAAUAAAGUCAUUUUGGUAACUUGUGAGUAUCUCAACAUGCAUCAUUACUAUAAGUUCUAAAUGCAGUCUUUUUUUCAAUCUGAAUCCCAGGUGACCAACAAUCAGGCUGCUGCUGUCGCAGUGGACAACUCUUCAGAUAUGACUUUCCUUGGUGAAUGUCUCUCAAAUGCAGCUACAGACCAGGUGGUCAACAAUCAGGCUCCUGCUGUCGCAGUGGACAACUCUUCAGAUAUGACUUCCCUUGGCGAAUGUCUCUCAAAUGCAGCUACAGACCAGAGAAACCCACUGCUGUAAAAGAAACUGGAGACCAC